rnacentral:lncRNA from 1 species
CACAAAGACUCUCUCAAUGCUAACAAGUACCAUACCAUAUGCUUGCCCUUAUUUUUAAUCACCACUAUAAUGACUACACUUGGUUUGACACGCCCCAAAAUAGGGCCAUAUCAUAUGGGCACCUGAAGCCCACAUAGAUCGGAGGUUGCCCCAAUACCCAUCAUAAUCAUCACAUCAAUCAUAAGGGUUGGGUGAAUCCCGACCAUUU